rnacentral:rRNA from 1 species
CUACGGGAGGCUGCAGUGAGGAAUAUUGCACAAUGGGGGGAACCCUGAUGCAGCAACGCCGCGUGGAGGAUGACGCAUUUCGGUGUGUAAACUCCUUUUGUAUGUCAAGAAAAUGACGGUAGCAUAUGAAUAAGCACCGGCUAACUCCGUGCCAGCAGCCGCGGUAAUACGGAGGGUGCAAGCGUUACUCGGAAUCACUGGGCGUAAAGGACGCGUAGGCGGGUUGGAAAGUCAGGUGUGAAAUCCUACAGCUCAACUGUAGAACUGCACUUGAAACUUCUAAUCUAGAGUAUGGGAGGGGGAGAUGGAAUUAGUGGUGUAGGGGUAAUAUCCGUAGAUAUCACUAGGAAUACCUAAAGCGAAGGCGAUCUCCUGGAACAUUACUGACGCUAAGGCGUGAAAGCGUGGGGAGCAAACAGGAUUAGAUACCCCUGUAGUC